rnacentral:misc_RNA from 1 species
UCUUGAAUAUUCUUCAUCUGAGCUCUGUAAUGAUUCUCUAUGAACUGCUUCGCUGCCGCCACUUUCUCCAUCGUCAAGCUCGAUCCCAACACCUCCUCUUCUCCGUUCUCCUCCUCCUCUAUAUCCUCCAUUCACUCUCUCUCUCUCUCUCUCUCUCCCUAGAAUCUCUCUCUAUCUACAGCAGUACUUCCUUUAGAAGUUUCCUUUCCUCUCUUAAAAUCUCUCAAGCUCAGUCUUCGAAUUUUCUCUCUCUAAAACCUCACUUUCUCUCCCUCAAACCCACUCUCUCUGCAACUCAUUU